rnacentral:rRNA from 1 species
UACGAAGGGGGCUAGCGUUGCUCGGAAUCACUGGGCGUAAAGGGUGCGUAGGCGGAUGUGUCAGUCAGGGGUGAAAUCCCGGAGCUCAACUUCGGAACUGCCCUUGAUACAGCACGUCUUGAGUCCGGAAGAGGUGGGUGGAACUGCGAGUGUAGAGGUGAAAUUCGUAGAUAUUCGCAAGAACACCAGUGGCGAAGGCGGCUCACUGGCCCGGUACUGACGCUGAGGUGCGAAAGCGUGGGGAGCAAACAGG